rnacentral:rRNA from 1 species
UACAGAGAGUGCAAGCGUUAAUCGGAAUUACUGGGCGUAAAGCGCACGUAGGUGGAUAUUUAAGUCGAAUGUGAAAACCCUGGGCUUAACCUAGGAAUUGCAUCCGAUACUGGGUAUCUAGAGUAUGGUAGAGGGAAGUGGAAUUUCCGGUGUAGCGGUGAAAUGCGUAGAUAUCGGAAAGAACACCAGUGGCGAAGGCGACUUCCUGGACCAAUACUGACACUGAGGUGCGAAAGCGUGGGGAGCAAACAGG